UACAGAGGUCUCAAGCGUUGUUCGGAUUCAUUGGGCGUAAAGGGUGUGUAGGCGGCGCCGGUAAGUCGGGUGUGAAAUUCGAGGCUUAACUCCGAAACUGCAUUCGAUACUGGCGUGCUUGAGGACUGGAGAGGAGACUGGAAUUCAUGGUGUAGCAGUGAAAUGCGUAGAGAUCAUGAGGAAGACCAGUGGCGAAGGCGGGUCUCUGGACAGUUCCUGACACUGAGACACGAAGGCCAGGGGAGCAAACGGG
rnacentral:rRNA from 1 species